CGCGCCGCCGCUCGCGCUGCCGGGGGUCUCUCAGCGCGGGGGCGGCGCCGGCGGCUGCUCCCGGGGGUCCCGGCGGAGGCGGCUCCGGCCGUGUCGGGCGAGGAGGAGGCGGCCGAGCUCCCCACGGCUGAGCGCCGGGCGGCGAGCGAGCGCAGGAUGGGGGGCGCGUGGCCGGCGGGGCCCUGUGGGCAGUGGUGGGAGCGGCCAGCGCCGGCGCCUCGGUUCUCUGCCUGUGUGAGAAGGGAGAUGCCAAGGUCACGGAAGAGACAGGCAAGAUGUCCAAGAUGGAAAAGAAAAUGAAAACAGGGUUGUCAGGCCUUUGGAACAGCUGCCCAGGGAGCUGCUGGAGUCACCAUUCCUGGAGGGAUUUCGGAGCCGGGAAAGUGCCGGGUCCUUGUUGCUGUUCCGAGGGUGGUGUUUCUCACAGAGCCUGCGGCAGCUGAUCUUCAAGAUGCUGCAGGAGAUCUGCAGCCUACUGGCAGUACCUCCUAGGCUACCUGCUGCUCGGGGGCUUCGUGGCCUUGGGGGUGUGCUCCAGGGACGGCCCAGUGGAGAACCAGCGCAGCAUCUGUCGCCUCUGCUGGGGCCUGCAGCUCCUGCUCACGGCUCAGGCAUCCAGCUCCAUUCUGUGUCCUUGCCCGUGCUGCUCACUGUCGCCUGCACCGAGAACAUCGAGCACGUGGCCUCUUGGGCUUCCGCUGCCCACAGGGGAGAACUCUCAGCGCCCUGGCUGGCUCCUGGUGCCCCUCUGGCUUUACAGAUGGGGAGAGGGGGGCACAGGAGCUGGGGGGGUGUGUGGAAGCCGGGCGUGCUGGGGAGGAAGGGCAGAUACUGCUUGUGGAUUCGAGUCUGUUUCUGGUUUUAAUAAAGAUGUAUUUUGUAGCUCAUGA